AAUUAUAAACACAUGUUGAAAUUAAGAAUGUAAAAACCUUUUAUUUUGAAAUAACUUUUAACAAUGGAUCUCUUGGCUCUCAUAUCGAUGAAGAACACAGUGAAAUGUGAUAAGUAAUGUGAAUUGCAGAAUUCAGUGAAUCAUUGAAUCUUUGAACGCACCUUGCACCUUUUGGUAUUCCAAAAGGUACACCUGUUUGAGUGUCAUGAAAAUCCCUCAUCAAAUUAAUUUUUGGUGGAUGUUGAGUGCUGCUGCUAUCUAGCUCACUUUAAAUAUAUAAGUUCUUUCUUAUUUUGUUGGAUUGACUUGAUGUGAUAUUUAACUUUGUUUUCAUCAGGGAAAGUAGAAAUACUUGCCAGCAUUUUUUAAGUAAAGGGCUCCUAAAAACAAUGAUUUUAUAUUUUUUUAGACCUCAAAUCAGGUGGGACUACCUGCUGAACUUAAGCAUAUCAAUAAGCAGAGGAAAAGAAACUAAC
rnacentral:rRNA from 1 species